rnacentral:rRNA from 1 species
CAGUAGCCACGGGAAUACAGAGGAUGCAAGCGUUAUCCGGGAUUAUUGGGCGUAAAGCGCGCGCAGGUGGUUUAAUAAGUCUGAUGUGAAAGCCCACGGCUCAACCGUGGAGGGUCAUUGGAGACUGUUAAACUUGAGUGCAGGAGAGAAAAGUGGAAUUCCUGGUGUAGCGGUGAAAUGCGUAGAGAUUAGGAGGAACACCAGUGGCGAAGGCGGCUUUUUGGCCUGUAACUGACACUGAGGCGCGAAAGCGUGGGGAGCAAACAGGAUUAGAUACCCCGGUAGUCCCUGUCUCUUAUAA